AUGAGCAGCGGCGGCGGCGGCGACGACGCGGGGGACGGCGGGCGGGCCGAGUGGCAGCGCAUCUACGACCGGGUCCAGGCGCUCGCCGCCGGCCGCGCGCGGCUGGAGGCGCGCAACAGGACCCAGCACGAGUUCUGGGACGCCCGCGACAAGAUCAACCACUCCCGCCUCCACCAGGCGGAGCUGAGCAGGAGCAGGUGGGAGGCGGCCUGCAGGGAGGUGCUCCCUGGGGAUGAUCCCAAGCUCGCCGAACUGCUAGAGAGUGAUUUGGAGGAUUCAAGAACUUGUGAAGCUCUUUUGGACACCGAAAACUCAGAACUGCUGGUACAACUGAAGGAAGAGCUUCAUGAAAACACUGCAGAUCAUGAGCACAAUUCCGGAGAUUUAAUAUCAGAGCUAAGAAAGUUAAAGCAGGUCUAUGAGACCAGAUGCUCGAAUAAGGAUAAGGAAGCUACUGAAGCAGUGCAGAAAUUUCAACAGAAGUUAGAGGAGCUGCACGUGGCAGCCUGUAAGAAGGAUGAUGAGAUUGGAAGAUUGCAGGCAGAAGCUUCUGCAUCCACAAAUAAGAUACUGGUUCUUGAGGGCAAGCUAAAUGAGAUGCACUCCUUGGAUAAGGCGAAUGAUAUCCAGAGCCUCAAAGUUGGGCAACCUGAGACUCAUAAACACAAGCUUGCCUUCUUAUCAACUAUACAAUCCGAGGAAGCUGGAAAUAGUCUAGAGAUUAUUCAAGAGAAUGCAGAUCAUGGGGCCAUCGCAGGAGAUUUUAGAGCAGAGCUAAGAAAACUGAAGCAAGCUUAUGAAACCCUUAGCUCAAACAAGGAUAAGGAAAUUUCUGCAGCACUUGCAGUGGAGGAUUUUCUUUUGAACAAACUGCUGAGAAUGGACAAGGACAACGCAGGGCUCCUUAAGAUAAAGGAAGUGGAGGCAGCACAAGCUAACGAAGCAGCACAAAAGCUUCAACAGACUGUAGAGGAGCUGCAAGUGGCUGUCCGAAAUAAAGAUGAUGAGAUUGGCACAUUGCGAGCAGAAGUGGGGCACCUUAAGAUAAAACAAGUGGAGGCAGCACAAAAGCUUCAGCAGAAUGUAGAGGAACUGCAAGUGGCAGUCCUAAAUAAGGAUAACAAGAUUGGCAGAUUGCAAGCAGAAGCGGGGAUCCUUAACAUAAAAGAAGUGGAGUCAGUACAAAAGCUUCAGCAGAAUGUAGAUGUGCUGCAAGUAGAAUUACGAAAUAAGGACGAUGGAAACUGUAGAUUGCAAGCAGAAGCUGCUAAUCCAGAAAAAAAAGAUGAAGAUUACUGUCAGGGUACACAAUGGCAUGAGCAGGUGUCACGCUCUUGA
rnacentral:rRNA from 1 species